CUCAACCUGGGAAUGGCAUUCGAUACUGUCCAGCUAGAGUCUGGUAGAGGGAAGUGGAAUUUCCGGUGUAGCGGUGAAAUGCGUAGAUAUCGGAAGGAACACCAGUGGCGAAGGCGACUUCCUGGACCAAGACUGACGCUGAGGUGCGAAAGCGUGGGUAGCAAACAGGAUUAGAUACCCUGGUAGUCCACGCCGUAAACGUUGAGAACUAGCCGUUGGACCCAUUUAAGGGUUUAGUGGCGCAGCUAACGCAACAAGUUCUCCGCCUGGGGAGUACGGCCGCAAGGCUAAAACUCAAAGGAAUUGACGGGGGCCCGCACAAGCGGUGGAGCAUGUGGUUUAAUUCGAUGCAACGCGAAGAACCUUACCUGCCCUUGACAUCCUCGGAACUUGGUAGAGAUACCUUGGUGCCUUCGGGAGCCG
rnacentral:rRNA from 1 species